rnacentral:lncRNA from 1 species
GGUAGGAGGUGGGGAUUAGGGUUUGGGGAGGAAGGGGGAGAGAGGAGAGAAAUAUAGAGGGGGGGAUUUGGAAGGGAGCCUCGAGGACUUCGUUGGAGAGGCGGAGGAUUCGAAGCGGAGGAGAGAGCGAGACUGGUCCCCUUUGGUUAUUAUGCUUUUUGAAGCGGGAACUUUACAAUGCGGAGAUUCGUAGUGAUGGUAUUGUUGUUGAAGGACGGCCAGGUGGUGGUGUUGGUGGCGAAGGAGCGGUGCCAAGGUGAUCGUAGUUGCCGCCUCGUUAGCAAGCCCCCCACGGGGUGGGGGAGGGGGAGAGAGGAGGCGGCUUACCUACGGUGGAGACGACGGCCGGAGGCCGUGAGUGGAGGUGGCAGGUGGGGGCCGCAGAAGGCGAUCGGAGGUAGGAAGCGGUGGUGGUCGUCGGCGGUGGGCCGCGGCGUGCCCUGGAUGGAUGUGAGGCAAGAGGCUCGCCCCGAUGAUGGCAAAGGUACCCAAAAAA